rnacentral:rRNA from 1 species
GACGAACGCUGGCGGCGUGCUUAACACAUGCAAGUCGAACGGAAAGGCCCUGCUUUUGUGGGGUGCUCGAGUGGCGAACGGGUGAGUAACACGUGAGUAACCUGCCCUUGACUUUGGGAUAACUUCAGAAAACUGGGGCUAAUACCGGAUAGGAGCUCCUGCUGCAUGGUGGGGGUUGGAAAGUUUCGGCGGUUGGGGAUGGACUCGCGGCUUAUCAGCUUGUUGGUUGGGUAGUGGCUUACCAAGGCUUUGACGGGUAGCCGGCCUGAGAGGGUGACAGGCCACAUUGGGAUUGAGAUACGGCCCAGACUCCUACGGGAGGCAGCAGUGGGGAAGAUUGUACAAUGGGCGGAAGCAUGAUGCAGCAACGCCGCGUGGGGGAUGACGGCCAUCGGGUUGUAAACCGCUUUCGCCUGUGACGAAGCGUGAGUGACGGUAAUGGGUAAAGAAGCACCGGCUAACUACGUG